UGGGGAAUAUUGGACAAUGGGCGCAAGCCUGAUCCAGCAAUGCCGCGUGGGUGAAGAAGGUCUUCGGAUUGUAAAGCCCUUUCGGCGGGGACGAUGAUGACGGUACCCGCAGAAGAAGCCCCGGCUAACUUCGUGCCAGCAGCCGCGGUAAUACGAAGGGGGCUAGCGUUGCUCGGAAUGACUGGGCGUAAAGGGCGCGUAGGCGGAUGACACAGUCAGGCGUGAAAUUCCUGGGCUCAACCUGGGGGCUGCGUUUGAUACAUGUUGUCUGGAGUUCGGAAGAGGGUCGUGGAAUUCCCAGUGUAGAGGUGAAAUUCGUAGAUAUUGGGAAGAACACCGGUGGCGAAGGCGGCGACCUGGUCCGAUACUGACGCUGAGGCGCGAAAGCGUGGGGAGCAAACAGGAUUAGAUACCCUGGUAGUCCACGCUGUAAACGAUGUGUGCUGGAUGUUGGGUGACAUAGUCAUUCAGUGUCGUAGCUAACGCGAUAAACACACCGCCUNGGGAGUACGGCCGCAAGGUUG
rnacentral:rRNA from 1 species